rnacentral:rRNA from 1 species
GACGAACGCUGGCGGCGUGCCUAAUACAUGCAAGUCGAACGCAGUGGGGACGGGUGAGUAACCCGUGGGUAACCUCCCAUCAGAGGGGAUAACACUUGGACACAGGUGCUAAACCGAUACUGAUGGAUGGACCCGCGGUGCAUUAGCUAGUUGGUGAGGUAAAGGCUCACCAAGGCGACGAUGCAUAGCCGAUCGGAGAGGGUGAACGGCCAAAUGGGGAAUGAGACACGGCCCAGACUCCGACGGGAGGCAGCAGUAGGGAAGCUGCGGAAAUGGACGAAAGUCUGACCGAGCAACGCCGCGUGAGGGAAGAAGGUUUUGGGAUCGUAAAACUCUGGUGUUAGAGAAGCGGUAUCUAACCAGAAAGCCACGGCUAACAACGUGCCAGCAGCCGCGGUAAUUC